rnacentral:rRNA from 1 species
AUACGUAGGUGGCAAGCGUUGUCCGGAUUUACUGGGUGUAAAGGGCGUGUAGCCGGGUUGGCAAGUCAGAUGUGAAAUCUAUGGGCUUAACUCAUAAACUGCAUUUGAAACUGCUGAUCUUGAGUAUCGGAGAGGCAAUCGGAAUUCCUAGUGUAGCGGUGAAAUGCGUAGAUAUUAGGAGGAACACCAGUGGCGAAGCCGGAUUGCUGGACGACAACUGACGGUGAGGCGCGAAAGCGUGGGGAGCAAACGGGAUUAGAUACCCUGGUAGUCCACGCUGUAAACGAUGAAUACUAGGUGUGCGGGGACUGACCCCCUGCGUGCCGCAGCUAACGCAAUAAGUAUUCCACCUGGGGAGUACGAUCGCAAGGUUGAAACUCAAAUGAAUUGACGGGG